rnacentral:rRNA from 1 species
UACGUAGGGGGCUAGCGUUGUCCGGAAUAAUUGGGCGUAAAGAGCGUGUAGGCGGUCCGGUAAGUCCGCUGUGAAAGUCGGGGGCUCAACCCUCGAAUGCCGGUGGAUACUGUCGGGCUAGAGUGCGGAAGAGGCGAGUGGAAUUCCUGGUGUAGCGGUGAAAUGCGCAGAUAUCAGGAGGAACACCUAUGGCGAAGGCAGCUCGCUGGGACGUGACUGACGCUGAGACGCGAAAGCGUGGGGAGCAAACAGG